GACGAACGCUGGCGGCGUGCCUAAUACAUGCAAGUCGAGCGAAGUCGUCUUACGGAAGUCUUCGGAUGGAAGUAAGAUGUACUUAGCGGCGGACGGGUGAGUAACACGUGGGCAACCUGCCCGUAAGACGGGGAUAACUAGCGGAAACGUUAGCUAAUACCGGAUAGUCCUCUUGAGCGCCUGCUUGAGAGGGGAAAGACGGAGCAAUCUGUCACUUACGGAUGGGCCCGCGGCGCAUUAGCUAGUUGGUGGGGUAACGGCUUACCAAGGCGACGAUGCGUAGCCGACCUGAGAGGGUGAUCGGCCACACUGGGACUGAGACACGGCCCAGACUCCUACGGGAGGCUG
rnacentral:rRNA from 1 species